rnacentral:rRNA from 1 species
CCCCUAGACGUUCUGGGCUGCACGCGCGCUACAAUAAUACGCACAGCGAGUAUCACCGAGCUCGAAAGGGCAAGGUAAACAAUAGAAAAGGUACUGUAAUGGUUAUAGAUCCUUGUAAUUAUUGAUCUUCAACGAGGAAUUCCUAGUAAGUAUGUGUCAUCAUCACGCACUGAUUACGUCCCUGCCCUUUGUACACACCGCCCGUCGCUCCUACCGAUUGGGUGAGCCGAUGUAACUCUCGGAUGUAGGCUAUUCAUAGCCCGCAGAAGAGAUUUGAAUCGUAGCGCUUAGAGGAAGGAGAAGUCGUAACA